rnacentral:rRNA from 1 species
ACCCGGAGAACUGAAACAUCUAAGUACCCGGAGGAGAAGAAAACAAAAGUGAUUCCGAUAGUAGCGGCGAGCGAAAUUGGAUUAGCCCAAACCAGUAUUGUUACGGCAAUACUGGGGUUGUAGGACCACGAUAUUCGAUGCAUAAUGAAUUAGAACAGUUUGGAAAGACUGACCAAAGAGGGUGAUAGUCCCGUAUAAGUAAAGAUUGUUUAGAUAGUGGUAUCCUGAGUAGUGCGGGGCACGUGUAACCCUGUGUGAAUCAGUCGGGACCAUCCGAUAAGGCUAAAUACUCCUGAGAGACCGAUAGUGAACUAGUACCGUGAGGGAAAGGUGAAAAGAACCCUGAAUAAGGGAGUGAAAUAGAACCUGAAACCAUACGCUUACAAGCGGUCGGAGCAGACUUGAUCUGUGACGGCGUGCCUUUUGCAUAAUGAGCCUACGAGUUACCGUUGCUAGCAAGGUUAAGGACUUCAGGUCCGGAUCCGUAGCGAAAGCGAGUCUGAAUAGGGCGCUUUAGUUAGUAGUGGUAGACGCGAAACCGUGUGAUCUACCCAUGGGCAGGGUGAAGCUGUAGUAACAUACAGUGGAGGCCCGAACCGAUAUACGUUGAAAAGUGUUCGGAUGACCUGUGGGUAGGGGUGAAAGGCCAAUCAAACUCGGAAAUAGCUCGUACUCCCCGAAAUGCAUUUAGGUGCAGCGUUGAUUUAUAGUUUUAUAGAGGUAGAGCUACUGAUUGGAUGCGGGGGCUUCACCGCCUACCAAUUCCUGACAAACUCCGAAUGCUAUAAAAUGUUAAUCAGCAGU